UAGAACUUUGUUUAAUUUUGAUCUGAAAGAGUUAAAUUGGUCGGAGUAUAUAGAAACCUAUGUUAAGGGUGUCCGGGAGUAUGUAUUCAAAGAAGAUUGGAGCACCCUCCCUGGAAGUCGAACAAAACUUAUGCAAAUGUACUGGUUACAUAAAACACUACUGAUUAUGAUGUUCUUGGGAUUCUGGAAAUUUAUCUUCUAUAGUUCUGAAUCAUCGACAAAACUGUGGGAAUCAAUAAUCAGCUUAAUCAUCAACUUCUUA